CCUGCCUGCUGUCCUUUACUUCAGACACCGACGGGUGGUGCCCCGGCUGCCGCCCGCAGCCCCGCAGGGCCUGCCGCCAUGGCGCCCCUCAGCACCUCCGGGCCUGCCUCUGCCGCCGCCACCGACGAGGCAUAGAACACAGAUCUUGAAACUAUGAAAAGUUCUUUUGCUUUGGAAAACAUUAUAUACAAGAAAUGGAUGUUCCUUUGUCAUCUUAGAGAGUGUUUUGGAAAACAUUAUAUACAAGAAAUGGAUGUUCCUUUGUCAUCUUAGAGAGUGUUUUCUAAGGCACAGCUGACAGUUAUCACCCAUGCCAUCCUGUCACGUUAUUUUUUGUGUUGAAAAUAAAUGGAAGUUACUGUUGCAA